AAGUUUCUUUUUUAAAUUUGUAUUAUUUAAUGUUGCCUUGGAUUUUCUGAUUGUUUAGUAUGUUAGGUCCGGUUUUGGGGGAUUUGUAAUUUUCUAGAGAGAGAUGGAUAGGGAGAUAGAGGUAGAUAGAGAGAGAAGAAAGCAUGGAUGUGUGCAUUUUUUGGGAUUAAUUAAUGGGUUAGUGCACAGGGUCAGUGAGGAGAGAGUCACAGAGGGGUGUAUGGCAGGGUAUGGGUUUUCGGUUGUUCCUUCUGAUUGAAUAGGUUAUGCACUGUUUCAAACUAAUUGUUUAUUGUUUUGUUUUCCUUUUGCUUUGUUAGAACCAUAAUUCGAUUUUUGGGUUUCACUUUGCUCAUUUUUGUGCUUCUUCAAAAUUUUCUAGUGUUUGCAGGUGAACUAUGUGCACGGUUUUUUGGACAAGUUAGGAAGAUCCACAUGAACUGGUAUGCUGCUUUGUCUUUCUGUUGGAUUUUUAUGUUCUGCUGCUCAAAGGAUUUUAAAAUGUUCUAAAUCUGAUUUACAGUACUUGAGUGCCACUUUUAUAGUGUUUGUUCCCUGCUGUAUACCUGCUGUACAGUUUCAUUUCUAUUUCUUCAUAACUUUCUUGGUGCUGGGAUAUAUGCAGAUUGAGUACAACGAAUGUCCAAUGUUCUCUAACUGUUCGGGUAUUAGUAAUAGGUUGUGUAGUUCAAGAAAUUUAACAUUUAGCAAUUGGCGAGUUAGAUGGAGCUGUUGGGCUUUACUAUCUUUGUAGCAGCAUGCCUAACAUUUUUUAGGCUUUACACUACCUUCCAAUUUAAUGAAAAAUUCAAAGAUUGGACGGUAUUGAUUGCAGAAAUAAAAAAAAUACUAUGAUAUUAGAAAGGUGAAAGUAAUUGUGUUAGAAGAAGCGGCUAGCAUGAUGGAUUUUAAGUUUGUAUUUCUAAAAGUUUUUCGUUCUGCAUUUUUUCUUCUGUCCUUUGUAUGUCUGCAGUUUGAUCAAUGGGUUCAAACCCUUGAAUUGAAAUUUGUUUGACAGCCUUGAAAGUGUUUGCCUUUUUGGUGCUCUUUAAUGUGUACUUUCUUUUGUUCAUCUAGAUUAGUGUUUAUCCGGCCCUUUUAAUCGUUGCAGUUCACAAAGUCUUUAUUGAUAUUGCAGUUGUUAUUUUUAAUUUAUCUUUGUUAGGUAGACGGCAUGUACUGUGGGUUUCGGUGUUUAGGGAAUAUUUUGAGCUUCAUUACUAUUUUAAUGGUUAGGGUAAAUUUUGAGAUUCAUUAAUAGGAUUUUUGUGGCUAACAUUCUUUAGCUAAAUUCGUCACUAUUUGGUGUUUGGAGUCCAGUGGAUUGGUAUCCAUAUCUUAUAAAUAUGUUGGCCAAGACAUGUUAGCUUUCAUUCUGCUUUUGCUUUCAUUUUGUUGUUUCAUUUUCAUUUCUUAUAUCUUGCUUUUGCUUUUGAUUAGUAGUUUGAAAGCUUCUGUAUCAUAAUAUGAAUUCUGGUGUGUGUGAGUGUGUGUGUCCAGUGUUUGUUCAUUUCGAAUUCUCAAGCGUGAUGAUAUUGCCUAUACAUGUAGAUUUUACAUUGCUUUUGUGCCAUGCAGUACCAACAUUCUAUGUGGCCUCUUAGCUAAUGAUACAAUCACAUUAUAUGAACUUUAAUUAGUUUUCAUGACACAGUUUCAAUUUCUUUGCUUUGUUUGCAAAUUUGUGCAUUUAUCUUCGGAGCACUUAAUCGAUUUAGCUUGCAGUUUAACUAUUGAGGAUUCUUAAUGUAUUUUGGUUUUACCUGGAUUCCAUUUCUGUGAUUGUCACCCUUAGUCGGUGGUAUUAUCUUUACAAUGGAUUUAAAUUGGGGGUUUAGAGAAUCUAAUAACAAAAUUGAAUUAUAUGUUCCAUGCUUUUCGUUUUCAUUUUGGGUUAAAAAGUUGGAGCUUUGGAUCAGGAGUUUUGUUUAUUCAACUAUAAUUUUGUGCUUAGGAGACUAUCUGAAACUGCUUAAAUUUGUUUGCAUAGGAACUUUUUUUUUUCUUUUCGAUGUAACUUGUUUUGUUAAAGGUGAUGAUAAAGAUUUAUCAAUAUUGUUUGUUCGGAGUUAUGUGGGAAUUAGAAGGGAGUAAAUUGUGAUCGUUUAUGCAGCAUUUGAUAAAAUUGAGAAAUAAAAUUGGGGAAAUAAUGUUAAUAGUUUGUAGAUGCUUAGGAGAUUGUCUGGGGCUGCUUAAAUUUUAUAUAUUCAGUUGCAUAGAGUCGUCAUGACAUACACAACCAUGGUCAGAUUGCCAUCCUUAGUUGGUGGUAUUAUCUUUACAACGCAUUCAAAUUGAGGAUUUAGAAAUCUAAUAAUAAAAUUGAAAUAUAUGUUCCAUGCUUUUUGUUUUCAUUUUGGGUUAAAAGGUUGGAGCUUUGGAUUGGGAUUUACCUUUAUUAACCUAUAAUUUUGUGCUCAGCACACAAUCUUGAGAGUCUUAACAUGAUUGUUCUUCUAUUUCAUAGAUUCGAAAUGUGUUUAGUCUCAUUUAAUUGGUGUACAUUUGCUCAUUUAAAUCAAAUUUUAUACGAUUUGGUCCUCCAAUUUCUCUGAAUUUAAACGGAUUUACUUUCUUUGGAAAUUUCAGGAACUUUAGUUGUGGGAGGAAGAAGCCAGUUCCUUGCUAUUUUUAGGUAUACGAUUAGAAAUCGGAGGGUUUAAGGUUAUGCACUUGCUUUGGAUGUGACUGCCAGAGAAAUUCAAGCUUCUACUAAGGUAAUUAUCAAUAAUUUGAUUGUUUAAUGCGAUCAAACGUGGUAGUGAAAUGUUAAAUUUGAUGGCUACAAGUUUCUAAUUAGAAUGCUAAUGCUGCAAUUCAUGAUGAUCAAUAUGUUCUGACUUAAACAGUUACUGCAAAUGUAUCGUUGCUUUGUGAUGAAUAAGUUAUCUUUUUCAUAUAAGACUUUUUGUUUCUGGAUACUAAGUCUAAAAUAAAGAUUUCAGAGCAAAACGUUGAUCGAGUAUAAGUGAGUUGUGAUUUUGUAGUUUUUAUAUGUUUCCAGAUAAAAGUUAGGAUCUGCAGAGAUUAGAAAGUGAAAAAGGGCAAAGGAAAGUGAUGCUGACUCAUGAAAGAUGGUUCAAAUCUCUGUUGGAGGUACAUUAGAUUUAUGUUUCUGAAGUGUUAAGUACAUUGUUAGGACUACAGAUUUGGAUUGAACUCAAUGUUCUCACUGUGUAUAUUUAAAUAUAUGUGUGUGUAUAGAUGUGUGUGUGUGAAUAUAUGUGUGUAUAUAUAGAUUUAUACAUAAAAGGGAAGAUGGAUGGAUAGGUGUAUGCUUACUCCGUAAAAGAAGAAGAGAAAACGAAAACCACACCAAACAACUGGCAUUUAAAGCUCUUUUUCUUUUUCUCUUUUGAAAUAAAUCUCUCUCUUUGUUAGAUUGUUAGGGGGCUGCACUGUGUGAGGGCCAUGUAUGUUUUAUUACGGUCGUAUCUAUAGUUUUGGGAACUGGAGAAAAGAAGUGGAACAAACCAUUUGCAUGGCAGAGGCCGACUUGAUUAUUUCUCAAAUUUGUAG
rnacentral:lncRNA from 1 species